AGAGUUUGAUCAUGGCUCAGAUUGAACGCUGGCGGCAGGCCUAACACAUGCAAGUCGAACGGUAACAGGAAGAAGCUUGCUUCUUUGCUGACGAGUGGCGGACGGGUGAGUAAUGUCUGGGAAACUGCCUGAUGGAGGGGGAUAACUACUGGAAACGGUAGCUAAUACCGCAUAACGUCGCAAGACCAAAGAGGGGGACCUUCGGGCCUCUUGCCAUCGGAUGUGCCCAGAUGGGAUUAGCUAGUAGGUGGGGUAACGGCUCACCUAGGCGACGAUCCCUAGCUGGUCUGAGAGGAUGACCAGCCACACUGGAACUGAGACACGGUCCAGACUCCUACGGGAGGCAGCAGUGGGGAAUAUUGCACAAUGGGCGCAAGCCUGAUGCAGCCAUGCCGCGUGUAUGAAGAAGGCCUUCGGGUUGUAAAGUACUUUCAGCGGGGAGGAAGGGAGUAAAGUUAAUACCUUUGCUCAUUGACGUUACCCGCAGAAGAAGCACCGGCUAACUCCGUGCCAGCAGCCGCGGUAAUACGGAGGGUGCAAGCGUUAAUCGGAAUUACUGGGCGUAAAGCGCACGCAGGCGGUUUGUUAAGUCAGAUGUGAAAUCCCCGGGCUCAACCUGGGAACUGCAUCUGAUACUGGCAAGCUUGAGUCUCGUAGAGGGGGGUAGAAUUCCAGGUGUAGCGGUGAAAUGCGUAGAGAUCUGGAGGAAUACCGGUGGCGAAGGCGGCCCCCUGGACGAAGACUGACGCUCAGGUGCGAAAGCGUGGGGAGCAAACAGGAUUAGAUACCCUGGUAGUCCACGCCGUAAACGAUGUCGACUUGGAGGUUGUGCCCUUGAGGCGUGGCUUCCGGAGCUAACGCGUUAAGUCGACCGCCUGGGGAGUACGGCCGCAAGGUUAAAACUCAAAUGAAUUGACGGGGGCCCGCACAAGCGGUGGAGCAUGUGGUUUAAUUCGAUGCAACGCGAAGAACCUUACCUGGUCUUGACAUCCACGGAAGUUUUCAGAGAUGAGAAUGUGCCUUCGGGAACCGUGAGACAGGUGCUGCAUGGCUGUCGUCAGCUCGUGUUGUGAAAUGUUGGGUUAAGUCCCGCGACGAGCGCAACCCUUAUCCUUUGUUGCCAGCGGUCCGGCCGGGAACUCAAAGGAGACUGCCAGUGAUAAACUGGAGGAAGGCGGGGAUGACGUCAAGUCAUCAUGGCCCUUACGACCAGGGCUACACACGUGCUACAAUGGCGCAUACAAAGAGAAGCGACCUCGCGAGAGCAAGCGGACCUCAUAAAGUGCGUCGUAGUCCGGAUUGGAGUCUGCAACUCGACUCCAUGAAGUCGGAAUCGCUAGUAAUCGUGGAUCAGAAUGCCACGGUGAAUACGUUCCCGGGCCUUGUACACACCGCCCGUCACACCAUGGGAGUGGGUUGCAAAAGAAGUAGGUAGCUUAACCUUCGGGAGGGCGCUUACCACUUUGUGAUUCAUGACUGGGGUGAAGUCGUAACAAGGUAACCGUAGGGGAACCUGCGGUUG
rnacentral:rRNA from 1 species